rnacentral:rRNA from 1 species
GGUGAACGCUGGCGGCGUGCCUAAUACAUGCAAGUCGAGCGAAUGGAUUAAGAGCUUGCUCUUAUGAAGUUAGCGGCGGACGGGUGAGUAACACGUGGGUAACCUGCCCAUAAGACUGGGAUAACUCCGGGAAACCGGGGCUAAUACCGGAUAACAUUUUGAACCGCAUGGUUCGAAAUUGAAAGGCGGCUUCGGCUGUCACUUAUGGAUGGACCCGCGUCGCAUUAGCUAGUUGGUGAGGGAACGGCUCACCAAGGCAACGAUGCGUAGCCGACAUGGGAGGGUGAUCGGCCACACUGGGACUGAGACACGGCCCAGACUCCUACGGGAGGCAGCAGUAGGGAAUCUUCCGCAAUGGACGAAAGUCUGACGGAGCAACGCCGCGUGAGUGAUGAAGGCUUUCGGGUCGUAAAACUCUGUUGUUAGGGAAGAACAAGUGCUAGUUGAAUAAGCUGGCACCUUGACGGUACCUAACCAGAAAGCCACGGCUAACUUCGUGCCAGCAGCCGCGGUAA